GACGAACGCUGGCGGCGUGCCUAAUACAUGCAAGUCGAGCGAAGUUUUUCUGGUGCUUGCACUAGAAAAACUUAGCGGCGAACGGGUGAGUAACACGUAAAGAACCUGCCUCAUAGACUGGGACAACUAUUGGAAACGAUAGCUAAUACCGGAUAACAGUAUUUCUCGCAUGAGAGAUAUUUAAAAGUUGGUUAUGCUAACACCAUGAGAUGGCUUUGCGGUGCAUUAGCUAGUUGGUGGGGUAAAGGCCCACCAAGGCGACGAUGCAUAGCCGACCUGAGAGGGUGAUCGGCCACACUGGGACUGAGACACGGCCCAGACUCCUACGGGAGGCAGCAGUAGGGAAUCUUCCGCAAUGGGCGAAAGCCUGACGGAGCAACGCCGCGUGAGUGAAGAAGGAUUUCGGUUCGUAAAGCUCUGUUGUUAGGGAAGAAUGGAUAUGUAGUAACUAUACAUGUAAGAGACGGUACCUAACCAGAAAGCCACGGCUAACUACGUG
rnacentral:rRNA from 1 species